rnacentral:rRNA from 1 species
AGAGUUUGAUUAUGGCUCAGAAUGAACGUUGGCGGCGUGGAUUAGGCAUGCAAGUCGAGCGAGAAGUUUUCCUUCGGGAGAAUGGACAGCGGCGAACGGGAGAGUAACAAGUGGAGUACCUACCCUGAGACUCGGGAUAGCCGUGGGAAACCGCGGGUAAUACCGAAUAAUGUCUCCGGACCAAAGGUGUGAUUCCGUCUUGGGAUGGCUCCGCUUCCUAUUAGCUUGUUGGUAAGGUAACGGCUUACCAAGGCAACGAUGGGUACCGGGUGUGAGAGCAUGACCCGGCUCACUGGGACUGAGACACUGCCCAGACACCUACGGGUGGCUGCAGUCGAGAAUCUUCGGCAAUGGGCGCAAGCCCGACCGAGCGACGCCGCGUGCGGGAUGAAGGCCUUCGGGUUGUAAACCGCUGUCAGAGGGGAUGAAAUGCUAUGUGGCAAUCCAUGUAGUUUGACAAAUCCUCAGAGGAAGGACGGGCUAAGUUCGUGCCAGCAGCCGCGGUAAGACGAACCGUCCAAACGUUAUUCGGAAUCACUGGGCUUAAAGGGUACGUAGGCGGCUUGGAAAGUUGGGUGUGAAAUCCCUCGGCUCAACCGAGGAACUGCACUCAAAACUGCCAGGCUUGAGGGAGAUAGAGGUAAGCGGAACUCAGGGUGGAGCGGUGGAAUGCGUUGAUAUCCUGGGGAACACCAGUUGCGAAGGCGGCUUACUGGGUCUCUUCUGACGCUGAGGUACGAAAGCUAGGGGAGCGAACGGGAUUAGAUACCCCGGUAGUCCUAGCUGUAAACGUUGAGCACUAGAUCGGAGGAUUUCGGUUUUCCGGUCGUAGCGAAAGUAUUAAGUGCUC